GCCCCCGUAGCUCAGAUGGAUAGAGCGUCCCCCUCCUAAGGGGAAGGCCACAGGUUCGAAUCCUGUCGGGGGCACCA
rnacentral:tRNA from 2 species